CGGACGGGUGAGUUUGCGUGAGAAUCUGCCCUCAGGAGGGGGAUAACGGCUGGAAACGGCCGCUAAUACCCCAUAUGCCGAGAGGUGAAAUGAAUUUCGCCUGAGGAUGAGCUCGCGUCUGAUUAGCUAGUUGGUGGGGUAAAGGCCUACCAAGGCGACGAUCAGUAGCUGGUCUGAGAGGAUGAUCAGCCACACUGGGACUGAGACACGGCCCAGACUCCUACGGGAGGCAGCAGUGGGGAAUUUUCCGCAAUGGGCGAAAGCCUGACGGAGCAACGCCGCGUGAGGGAUGAAGGCCUCUGGGCUGUAAACCUCUUUUAUCAAGGAAGAAGAUCUGACGGUACUUGAUGAAUAAGCCACGGCUAAUUCCGUGCCAGCAGCCGCGGUAAUACGGGAGUGGCAAGCGUUAUCCGGAAUUAUUGGGCGUAAAGCGUCCGCAGGCGGUCUUGUAAGUCUGUCGUCAAAGCGUGGAGCUUAACUCCAUUUCUGCGAUGGAAACUGCAAGACUAGAGUGUGGUAGGGGCAGAGGGAAUUCCCGGUGUAGCGGUGAAAUGCGCAGAUAUCGGGAAGAACACCAGUGGCGAAGGCGCUCUGCUGGGCCAUAACUGACGCUCAUGGACGAAAGCCAGGGGAGCGAAAGGGAUUAGAUACCCCUGUAGUCCUGGCCGUAAACGAUGAACACUAGGUGUCGGGGGAAUCGACCCCCUCGGUGUCGUAGCCAACGCGUUAAGUGUUCCGCCUGGGGAGUACGCACGCAAGUGUGAAACUCAAAGGAAUUGACGGGGGCCCGCACAAGCGGUGGAGUAUGUGGUUUAAUUCGAUGCAACGCGAAGAACCUUACCAGGGUUUGACAUCCUGCGAAUCCCUUGGAAACGAGGGAGUGCCUUCGGGAGCGCAGAGACAGGUGGUGCAUGGCUGUCGUCAGCUCGUGUCGUGAGAUGUUGGGUUAAGUCCCGCAACGAGCGCAACCCACGUCGUUAGUUGCCAGCAUUCAGUUGGGCACUCUAGCGAGACCGCCGGUGAUAAACCGGAGGAAGGUGUGGAUGACGUCAAGUCAUCAUGCCCCUUACAUCCUGGGCUACACACGUACUACAAUGCUACGGACAAAGGGCAGCAAACUCGCGAGAGCUAGCAAAUCCCAUAAACCGUGGCUCAGUUCAGAUCGUAGGCUGCAAC
rnacentral:rRNA from 1 species